GGCAACUGGGCCAACCAGCCUUUCAUUUACAGUUGGCCUUGGGGCCCUUGCCAGGGAAGUGGGCAUGUGUGUCUCUGGGGAUGUGGGUGCAAGUUGUGUUUGGAUUUCCCAUCACUGACCUGGUGGCCAGAAUAGAAACAGCUUCACAGUUUCCUGGGAACCUGCAGGGCCUGUGGACAUAAUGGGGAAAGAGCAGACAGAGGCCACCUGGGCAGACUGGACUCCGGGGAUGAAAGACCAACUGAGGCCCAUCAGGGAAGUUGGAAGAGUUUUUACUGCACUUUUUCUGAGCCUUUUCCCACAGCCCCCCUCUGGGAGGGAAAAUUCUUCUGAGCCAAAGGAUGAACAUUCCUACAACUUGUGUGAGUCCCUGUGGGGCACACAAGCAGCCAGCUGGGAAGGGGCCGGUCUGAGGACCUUCAGGGCUCAGUGGUGGCAGAGGAAGGUCCGGAGGCUGAACUUUCAUUCCCCCUCUGCCUCUUUCCAAGCUGAGGUGGGCAAGUAACCCUGUCCACCUCAGUUUCUUCUUGUAUAAAAUGGGGUAAUAACAGGUUUGCAGAAAAGUUUUAAUGAACCAGUGUGUGAAAGGCACCUGCUGCCUGGCACAGAGAAGGGUUCAAUUACAUGCAGGGGGUUGUUGAUUUUGUCAUUACCAUCAGCAGUGUUAUUGUUACUGGUGUGAAACGUUCCCUGUCAGCUGCAUCUCCUGCACUGCCCUGGAGUUCCUCCAGUCUUGGGAGAAGAAUUUUGAAGACUUGGGCGAGAUGAGAUGAUAGCACUUCCUGGCUAAGAGGUCUUGCUUACCGUCUAUGGCCUCAGUUUUCUCAUCUGCCAAAUGGGUGUGGUAAGAGAACCUACUCCUUAGGAUCACCGGAAGCAUAAAUGAGUAACUUCAUAGAGAGUUUAGCGUGGCAUCAUCAGGAGCAGACCAAGGACGGUUUGUUCUUUGUUGGGGAGGUUAGCUCUACUUGAUUUUCUUCCUUAUCCCCCUGCCCCCAAGCCUCUCAACCCUGGGCUUGAACCUCCUUCUAUGAGAAACAGACCUUUCUAAUCAGAUCCUGUAGAGCUAUUCCAGCAGCC
rnacentral:lncRNA from 1 species